ACAUUUCUGUCGUUUCCGAAACUACCCUCCCACUCUCUCGCUCGCUUAGCUCAGCCACUCGCUCGCUGGCUCUCGAACCCCUAGCUCACCGCCACCGGCGCCUCUCCGUCGCACGCGUUGCCGGCGCCUCUACCCCGCACGCAGCGCCUCCGCCUCUCCCUCUCGCGUCGUCGCCGCCUUUCCAUGUUGCCAUACACCGUCGCCUCUCCCUCUUCAAGAUUUCAUUUUUACUCCAGCGGCUAGAUCUGAAGCGCGGCUGCUCCACCUUCCUCAGGGUUGCGGGGAUCUCCGGCGGCUGGAUCUGAAGCGCGGCUGCUCCACCUUCCUCAGGGUGGCGGGGAUCUCCGGCUCGCUGCGCAUGGGAAGGGCCCGACCGCCGGCGGCCGCUGCGGGCAGAAUGGGAACUGCGUCGGCGACGUCGUCGGCGACGUCGUCGGCGUCCCAGGGACAGGGCACGGCGGCACGCACUGCGGGACAGGGCACGGCGGCACGCACUGCGUGACAGGGCACGGCGACACGCACUGCCGUUGCCGCCGUCCGCCAGCGCGCCGCUGGCCGACAGGAGCAGCCACAACCACGAGGCCACGACGAGCAGGACUGUUGGCGACGGGUUGGUGCAGUCCCGCGAGGACCGCGCCGUGUGGGAUGCCGAGAUGACGUUGCCGGAGAAGGAGUCUCCGACUACCUCACGCCCACCGCUGGCCUGCACAUCAGGUCGCCGAGCCCGUACGCCGGUGUGAGCAGCCUGGGUUGCCGGGUGCUCGCCGUCCGGCAGCACACCACGGUGCGACACGGGGUGGUGGAGGCCGAGGCUCACCUAGGUCGAGACCAUAUGGUGGCAGUAGGAGGGGACAGAGCACCGUGUGGUGUGAGCGCCGAUUGAAAAUCACCAGCGAGUCCUACUUCAACUACGAUGCAAUGUGGAGUGAAGUUGAGGUCUGGGAGAUCCAUUUUCUCCUGAAGAUAUGAAUAUGUAAGAUGAAGUAGAAGUACAAGUAGAAGCACAAGUUCACAGUUGAUUUGACUUCAGUGGAGACCAAUAUGGUAUUUUUUGAUAUGGCGGAUCCACGUAUAACACCUGGCAAACUAUGCCAAGCCCUGGAAACUGUUCAGGCAAUAUUGUGAACAGUCGAUGCAGGGUAGAACUGCUUAAUGAUACACAUGAGUCUGAUUUUCAGGUGGCCAAAUACACACGAGUCUAAACAAGACAUGGGUCUGCUUUCCUCUUAAGCAGAUAUGAUCAUCAAGCUGUUUCCAGUGACAGCAGCGGAGCCUGGGGAGAGGAGAUGAACCUGGGCCUGGGGUGAGGACAGCCUGGGAUGAGGAGAGCCUGGGCAGCAGCCGAGCCUAGCUCCAGCUCGCCUCAACCUGGGCGGACUUGGAGAGGAGGAGUCCCUGGAGAUGGAGAGGAGUCCCUGGGCAUGGAGAGGAGGAGCGCCUGGGCGCCUGCGUUGGUCUGGAUGGAGGUGGAGCUAUGGCGCCUGGAGGUCUGGGGUGGAGCGCCGGCGAGGGAGCUUCUGAUCGCGGCGGGGAAGGGCGAUCAAAGAGGGGAUCUGGCUCUCGAUUGGAGCGGCGCAGGCAGCCGGCGGGGAAGGACGCCGGAGAUGCGGACGACGGAGGAGCCUGGCGAAGGGGGGGGAGGGACGGAGUCCUCCUCCGCCUGGCGAAGGGGAGGAGCGACGGAGUCCUGGCGGAGGGAAGGAGCGAUGGAGAAAGACGACGACCUGAGCGCGAUUUCAAUUCGGGGGCAGUUUUGUAAUUUCACUACUUUUCACCUGGUCGGAAAAGACCCCCCAGCGACAAUUAUUUCGGAACGGAGGGAGUAUUUCCUUAUAUCAUGAUAAAUGUUUAUUAUUCAUGCUAGAAUUGUAUUAACCGGAAACUUGAUACA